GCAGAGGGCUGGAUGGCCGCGGGUGGCAACAUCCGAGGAAAGUCCGGACUCCACAAGGCAACGGUGCCGGGUAACGCCCGGCCGGGGAAACCCGAGGGAAAGCGCCACAGAAAACAGACCGCCUUCGUUCGCGAAGGUAAGGGUGAAACGGUGGGGUAAGAGCCCACCGCGGGACUGGCAACAGGACCGGCACGGCAAGCCCCACCGGGAGCAAUGCCAAAUAGGGAUCGCGCGUGGUUUCGGCUACAGGGGGGUUUUGCCCCGAGCAGAUCCGGGUUGGCAGCUAGAGGGCGUCUGGUAACAGGCGCUCAAGAUGAAUGGUCAUCAUCGGCAGGGUAACCUGCCGUUACAAAAUCCGGCUUAUAGGCCCUCUGCGCAU
rnacentral:RNase_P_RNA from 2 species